AUUGAACGCUGGCGGCAGGCCUAACACAUGCAAGUCGAACGAGUGGCGGACGGGUGAGAAAUGUGUGGGAAACUGCCCGAUGGAGGGGGAUAACUACUGGAAAGGGUAGCUAAUCCCGCAUACCAUCAGAUGUGCCCAGAUGGGAUUAGCGUGUUGGGGGGGUAAGGGCUCCCCAAGGCGACGAUCCCUAGCUGGUCUGAGAGGAUGAUCAGCCACACUGGAACUGAGACACGGUCCAGACUCCUACGGGAGGCAGCAGUGGGGAAUAUUGCACAAUGGGCGCAAGCCUGAUGCAGCCAUGCCGCGUGUAUGAAGAAGGCCCUAGGGUUGUAAAGUACUUUCAGCGGGGAGGCGUUACCCACAGAAGAAGCACCGGCUAACUCCGUGCCAGCAGCCGCGGUAAUAC
rnacentral:rRNA from 1 species